rnacentral:rRNA from 1 species
AUUGAACGCUGGCGGCAUGCUUUACACAUGCAAGUCGAACGGUAACAGCACUUCGGUGGCUGACGAGUGGCGAACGGGUGAGUAAUACAUCGGAACGUGCCUAGUAGUGGGGGAUAACUACUCGAAAGAGUAGCUAAUACCGCAUGAGAUCUAAGGAUGAAAGCAGGGGACCUUCGGGCCUUGCGCUACUAGAGCGGCUGAUGGCAGAUUAGGUAGUUGGUGGGAUAAAAGCUUACCAAGCCGACGAUCUGUAGCUGGUCUGAGAGGACGACCAGCCACACUAGGACUGAGACACGGCCCAGACUCCUACGGGAGGCAGCAGUGGGGAAUUUUGGACAAUGGGCGCAAGCCUGAUCCAGCAAUGCCGCGUGCAGGAUGAAGGCCUUCGGGUUGUAAACUGCUUUUGUACGGAACGAAAAGCCCUCUUCUAAUACAGGAGGGUCAUGACGGUACCGUAAGAAUAAGCACCGGCUAACUACGUG